rnacentral:tRNA from 2 species
GCGCCCGUAGCUCAGUUGGAUAGAGCGUUUGACUACGAAUCAAAAGGUCGCACGUUCGAGUCGUGCCGGGCGCA